AGAUGUAGUGGAGGUGAAGGCACCUGAGACUUGCAGGUCCUGAGAGCAGAGCCCAGGCUCUCACUGUGUGUGAAUGCUGCCGCCCUCAGAUUCCCAGGUUUGCAGAACAGAGAAUGAGUCAGGUGACUAGUUAGGAUGCUGUUUACAGAGUGGUCCCCAAUGCUUGCUGGAUGUCAGGUGUCCAGGGUCCGUGAGGGGCUGGUUUGAUAGAGCAGAUACUUAAAGACUCAGUGGGUCAACGCUGUCUUUGGGACUGCGCGAGUCACUCGGGAUGCUGUGGGCAUCACUCGGGAUGCUGUGUGCUUCGAGGGACCUAGAGGAGGAUGAAAGACAGAAGCCAUUAGGAACUGAUGAACAGUUCGGGACACACAGUGUCACGAUGAAGAGGCUGUCAGGGACAAGGGAAGACAAGAAAGCAGCCAGCAGUUCCCUCUAGAAGCGGCAGAGUCGGCACAAGUGGGAGGUGCAUUAUGAAACAGCCACUGGCUUGGGGAAGGUGCACGCGGCUUGGGAGACUGGGGAAGCGGUGCAGCGAGUGCCACUAGGGGGUGCACGCAGCCUGAGAGCCUAGGGAGCUGCUGCAGCGAGUGCGGCUGGGUGGCGAGGAGGCUGGAGGAAGAGAUGAGUGAGGGCGUGGAAGGCUCUGUGGUAACUGUGGGGGCAGCAACACUGUCAGUUGUGUAUUUUAGAAGAAUUCCUUGGCUCAGGGGGAUGCGCUGUAGAGCAGGAUGGGUUUGAGAGGGAAUGGCAGGGAAGGAAAUAGGAAACCUCUGUCUGAAGGAAAGGAUGUGGACCCAAGCCGACUGGAUGUGGCUGGAAACAGGCAAGGGAUCAAGAGCUGUUUCAGAAAGCAGUGGCCAGACACUGGUGCCAUUUGUAUCUGAGGAGCACCGCCGCUUGUUACCACUCCUUACACUGUGGCCAGGGAGAAAGGAAGGUUAAUAUCAGAGCUAGCUGAUGUCAUAGUCACUGUUCUAUUGCUGGGAAGAGAUACCAUGGCCAGGCCAUGGUGUCUUUAUAGAAGAAAGAGUUUAUUGAGCUUCCAGUUUCAGAGGGUGGUGAGCCCAUGACCAUCAUGUGGGGAGUAUGGCAGCAGGCACGCAUGCAUGGCACUAUAGAAGUAGCUGAGAGAUUGCACCUGAUCCAGAGUCCAGAGGCAGUGGAGGGGGUUGCACACACACUAAGUGGAGAUGGUGGGGCUUUUAAAAUCCCCAAAGCCUGCCCCCAGAGACACACCUCUUCCAACAAGGCCACACCUCCUAAUCCUUCACAAUCAGUUCCACCAAGUGCAGACCAAACAUUCAAAUGGGGACCGUUCUCACUCAAAUCGCGACACUUGCUAUAGCCAGUCUGACAGACGAUUAAAACCCAUUGCAUCGAAGCAGGAGCAAUCAAUGCUGUCAUUUGCUUUUCUUAAGAUUUAGUUCCUUAUACGUGAAGUUUUGAGGAAGCUGGGGUAUAACUCGGUAGUAGGGUAUAUGCAAUGUACAAGCCUGGGCUUAAUCCCCACGAGGAAGUUAACACUCAUGUUAAAAUUUUCCCACACACGUGCAUGCACAUACACUUUCUACACCCUCACCCACAUACAUAACCACGUGCACACACUUGCACUAACACAUGCACAGAGAAACACACACACAUACACUGUACAAUACUCACACUGUCAUAUACACGUUCAACUUAUGUACUCUAUGCAUAUACUCUCACACAUUCACAUACAACAUAUAUGCACAGUGCUCAUACAUUCUAUACAGCUAUCCAUACAUGUACAAUUAUACUCAAAUACACAUUCACACAAUGAUACCAUACACUCACAAUACUUAUAUACAUAAACCCAUACAUAGAUACAUAGUCCAUAUACUUGCCGUACCUAAACACUCCACAUACAUGUGUACACACAGAAAUACUGACGUACACUCAAUUGCAGACAUACUCAUACUUCACAUGAACUCUUACACAUUCAGCUACAUGUAUACCCUACACACACACUUGCAUAUACUAAACCUCAUACAUUCACACAA